rnacentral:rRNA from 1 species
AACGUAGGAGACGAGCGUUAUCCGGAAUUACUGGGCGUAAAGCGCGAGUAGGCGGCUUUUUAAGUGGUCUGUGAAAGCGUCCGGCUCAACUGGACGAGGCCGGAUCAGACUGGAAGGCUCGAGGGUCAGAGAGGCAGGCGGAAUUCCGGGUGUAGUGGUGAAAUGCGUAGAGAUCCGGAGGAACACCAGUGGCGAAGGCGGCCUGCUGGCUGACAACUGACGCUGAGGCGCGAAAGCAUGGGGAGCGAACGGG